rnacentral:rRNA from 1 species
UACAGCGGGUGCGAGCGUUAAUCGGAAUUACUGGGCGUAAAGCGUGCGUAGACGGUAGCGUAAGUCAGAUGUGAAAGCCCCGGGCUCAACCUGGGAAUUGCAUUUGAGACUGCUCUGCUCGGGUGCGGAAGAGGGAAGCGGAAUUUCCGGUGUAGCGGUGAAAUGCGUAGAUAUCGGGAAGAACACCCGUGGCGAAGGCGGCUCGCUGGGACGGUACUGACGCUGAGACGCGAAAGCGUGGGGAGCGAACAGG